CUAAUGGGGAUGCCGAUGAUGCUGACGAUGCCAAGAUCGUCACAAAUAAUCCAGUGUUUCAGUUUGAGGGAUGAUGUGAUGCCAGCAAUUGAUAGUCACUAAGCACUGACAGUGAAUCUAGUACUUCUCCUAUGUUCACCCCUUUCAUCUCACAACAACCUUAAGAGACAUAUUAUUUUUAUGACCUCUUUACAGGAGAAGAAAACUGAGUCUCUGAAAGUUAGUGUUACUCAGCCACAUGACCAGUAAGUGACAGGAUUUAAUUCUAAUGCAGUUUAGUCUGGUGUCAAGAUGCAGGCUCUUAAGUAUUUUAGAUCAUAAAUCCAAACUGUUCCUCCCUAAAUACCCAAAUUUAAAAGUAUUUUAGUGAUAAUCACUUCCUCCAUCUCCCUCUUUCUCUCCUCUCAUCCCACAACACAAACACCAAGAAGGAACCAAGAAAACCUAGUGAGGAGGGGUUGACAUGAAUCCUGGAACUGCAUGGCAGGGUGUUUGGAGAUUGUAGCAGGUUAUGGGCCUUUAAGUGUCCUCAGUUUCCCACCAGCCCCAUCCAAAGAGCCCAGACUGGAUGAAGCAUGAAUUUAGCCCAGCAGUAGCCCCACAGUUCUAUGAGAAACUGUUGCCCUCACCACCUGACUUAACUCUGGCCUGUCUGAUAUGCAGUGUAAAGUUGAGGAAAUGCACCUGAAGUACCUCUAACGAGUGCUCAUGAGGGGCUAUCAUCACGAUUAUUAAUUAUUAACAAGAGCCAGGCAGCCUGAAAUGCAGCAUACGCGGACUAAAACGAGCCCUGCUGCCUCCAGCUUUUGAGAGGGAGGAGGAUGAGGUUUGGAAAGAUGCCCUCCAGUGGGAGCAUUUCCUUGGGCCAGUGCUGAAAAGGACCCCUGAGCAGGUCCCUGGAACCAAUGCUGAAGUGGUGGAAACAAAGAGGACUCCCAGAAAACCUAUCCUGCUGCCCUCUGCCCAUCCCCCCCCCUCAGGGGUGGGGGUGGGGGCUGCUCAGAUGGUGGGAGAUUCCUUCUAUUGAGAACCCCUCUUCCCACCCCAGCCACUUUGCUGUUCUGGGGGAGGGGAAUGGGAGCCACUUUCAUUGUCCCUGAACACUGGCUGGCAGGAGGCCCAGGGAGGGGGGUCCCCAAUAGGGAAUCUGCAGCUGCCUGUCUUUAAGGUAAAAUUACCGUAAUUACUCCAAUUACCAAAUCCAUCAAGAGCGUUGGAUUGAGGAGGCCGGUGAACAAUCAGUUCUGAGGAGUGUGAG